rnacentral:lncRNA from 1 species
AUUCAAUCAAAUUUCAUGGGUUUAACAACAACAUUUUCAUUUUUCACACAAUUCAAUCAAAUUUCUUGGGUUUAACAUCAACAUUUCAUCAUUUCCACCAUUCAAUAAAUUUCAUAGAUUUAACAACAAAAUUUUCAUCAUUCCCACAAUUCAAUCAAAAUUCAUGGGUUUAACAUCAUCAUUUUCAUCAUUAACACAGUUCAAUCAAAUUUCAUGGGUUUACCAUCAACAUUUCAUCAUUUCCACAAUUCAAUCAAAUUUCAUAGGUUUAACAACAACAUUUUCAUCAUUCACACAAUUCAUUCAAAUUUCAUGGGUUUAACAUUAUCAUUUUCAUCAUUCACACAGUUCAAUCAAAUUUCAUGGGUUUAACAUCAACAUUUCAUCAUUUCCACAAUUCAAUCAAAUUUCAUGGUUUUAACAACAAUAUUUUCAUUUAAUCACACAAUUCAAUCAAAUUUCAUGGGUUUAACAUCAACAUUUUCAUCAUUCCCACAAUUCAAUCAAAAUUCAUGUGUUUAAUAACAACAUUUCCAUUAUUCCCACAAUUCAAUCAAAUUUCAUGGGUUUAAAUUCAUGUGUUUAAUAACAACAUUUCCAUUAUUCCCACAAUUCAAUCAAAUUUCAUGGGUUUAACAACAACAUUUUCAUUUUUCACACAAUUCAAUCAAAUUUCUUGGGUUUAACAUCAACAUUUCGUCAUUUCCACCAUUCAAUCAAAUUUCAUAGGUUUAACAACAACAUUUUCAUCAUUCACAUAAUUCAUUCAAAUUUCAUGGGUUUAACAUUAUCACUUUCAUCAUUCACACAGUUCAAUCAAAUGUCAUGGGUUUAACAUCAACAUUUCAUCGUUUCCACAAUUCAAUCAAAUUUCAUAGGUUUAACAACAACAUUUUCAAUAUUCACACAAUUCAAUCAAAUUUCAUAGGUUUAACAACAACCUUUUCAUCAUUCCCAUAAUUUAAUCAAAUUUCAUCGGUUUAACAUCAACAUUUUCAUCGUUCACACAAUUCAAUUAGAUUUUAAGGGUUUAACAAAAUAAUUUUUAUUAUUCAUAUAUUUCAAUCAAAUUUCAGGGUUUUAACAACAAUAUUUUCAUUUAAUCACACAAUUCAAUCAAAUUUUAUGGGUUUAACAUCAUCAUUUUCAUCAUUCCCACAAUUCAAUCAAAUUUCCUGUUUUUAACGUCAUCACUUUUAUCAUUCACACAAUUCAAUCGAAUUUCAUGGGUUUAACAUCAACAUUUCAUCAUUUCAACAAUUCAAUCAAAUUUCAUAGGUUUAACAACAACAUUUUCAUCAUUUACACAAUUCAAUAAAAUUUUAUAGGUUUAACAACAACAUUUUCAUCAUCCCCAUAAUUCAACCAAAUUUCAUGGGUUAAACAACAACAUUUUCAUCAAUCCCACAAUGCAAUCAAAUUUCAUGGGUUUAACAUCAACAUUUUCAUCAUUCCCACAAUUCAAUCAAAUUUCAUGGGUUUAACAACAACAUUUCUAUCAUUCACACAACUCAAUCAAAUUUUAGGGGUUUAACAACAACAUUUUCAUCAUUCCCACAAUACAAUCAAAUUUCAUGGGUUUAACAUCAUCAUUUUCAUCAUUCACACAGUUCAAUCAAAUUUCAUGGGUUUAACAUCAACAUUUCAUCAUUUCGACAAUUCAAUCAAAUUUCAUAGGUUUAACAACAACAUUUUCANNNNNNNNNNNNNNNNNAUCCAACAAUUCAAUCAAAUUCAUGGGUUUAACACAACAUUUCAUCAUUUCACAUUCAAUCAAUUUCAAGGCUUUACAACAACAUUUUUCAUUCACAAAUUCAAUAAAAUUUCAUAGGUUUAACAACAACACUUUCAUCAUUCCCAUAAUUCAAUCAAAGUUCAUGGUUUAACAUCAUCGGUUUCGUCAUUCACACAGUUCAAUCAAAUUCAGGGUUUAACAUCAACAUUUCAUCAAUUCCACAUUCAAUCAAUAUGUUCAUAGGUUAACAACAACAUUUUCAAUCAUUUACAACAAUUCAAUCAAAUUUAUAAGGUUUAACAACAACAUUUCAUCAUCCCAUAAUUCAACAAAGUUCAUGGGUUUAAUUACAACAAUAAGCAUUCCCAAAUUCGAUCAAUCAUUUAACAUCACAUUUCAUAUUCCAAAUCAACAAUUCAUGGGUUUAACAAAACAUUUCUUAAUAUUCCCACAAUUCAAUCAAAUAUUAGGAUUAACAAAACAACACAUUUUCCAUAUUCCCUAUCAUACAUUUUCAUUCCAAUUAAUAAAUUUCAUGGUUUAACAUCACGAUUUUCAUCAUUCCUCCAAUUCAUCAAAAUUCAUUGUUUAAUAACAACAUUUCCAUUAUUCCGCACAAUCAAUCAAUCAUCGGGUUUAACAACACAUUUUCAUUUUUCACACAAUUCAUCAAUAUUGCUUGGGUUUAACAUCAACAUUUCAUCAUUUCCACCAUUCAAUCAUUCAGUAGGUUUAACAACAACAUUUUCAUCACUUCCACAAUUCAUUCCAAAUUUCAUGGGGUUUAACAUUAUCAAUUUUCUCAUUCACACAGUUCAAUCAAUUUUCAUGGUUUAACAUCAACAUUUCCUCAUUUCCACAAUUCAAUAAAUUUUCAUAGGUUUAAAAACAACAUUUUCAUCUUACACAAUUCAAUCAAAAUUUCAUAGGUUUAAAACAGCCUUUCAUCAUUCCCAUAAGUCAAUCAAAUUUCAUCGGGGUUUUAACAUCGAACCUUUUCAUACGUUCACACAUUUCAAUUGAUUUUAAGGGUUUAACAAGAAUAAUUUUUAUUCACAUAUAGUUCAAUCAAUUUCAUGGGUUUACAAUAUUUUCAUUUUAAUCAACUUCCCACAAUUCAACAAAUUUCACCUGGGGUUUAACAUCAUCAUUUUGCAUCCCUCAAAAAUUCUAUAACAUUCAUUCAUAAUUCAAUUCAAAAUUCAUGUGUUUAAUAACAACAUUUCCAUUAUUCCGCUCAAUUCAAUCAAAUUUCAUGGUUUAACAACAACAUUUUCAUUUUUCACACAAUUCAAUCAAAUUUCUUGGUUUAACAUCAACUUUUCAUCAUUUCCACCAUUCAAUCAAAUUAUCGGUUUAACAACAACAUUUUCAUCAUCCCACAAUUCAUUCAAUUUCAUGGGUUUAACAUUAUCAUUUUCAUCAUUCACCAGUUCAAUCAAAUUUUAUGGGUUUAACAUCAACAUUUCAUCAUUUCCACAAUUCAAUCAAUUUUCAUAGGUUUAACAACAAACAUUUUCAUCAUUCACACAAUUCAAUCAAAUUUCAGUUUAACAACAGCACUUUCAUCAUUCCCUUAAGUCAAUCAAUUUCAUCGGUUAACAUCGACAUUUGAUCAUCACACUUUCAAUUAGAUUUUAAGGGUUACAAAAUAUUUUUAUCAUUCAUAAUCAAUAAAAUUUCAUGGUUACACAACAUUUUUCAUCAUUUCAUCAUCAUAUUAUCGCUACACACCACAUAUGCAAAUCACCCAAUUUCAUGGAUUUUAAAUCAUCACAAUUUUCAUCAUUCCACAAUUCAAUCAAACUUUCAUGGGUUUAACAUCCACAUUUUCAUAUUUCCCACAUCAAUCAAAUUCAUAUGGUUUAAAAAACAUUUCCAUAUUCCCAUUCAAUCAAAUUCAUGGGUAUUAAUCACAACAUUUUCAUCUUCUCACACAAUUCCAAUCAAAUUCUUGGCGUUACACCAUCAACAUGUCUUCCAUAUCCAACACUCAAUCAAAUUUCGAUGUUUAAACAAACCAACAUUUUCUAUCAUUCCCAACAAUUCACCAUCAAUUUUAGGUUUAAAAACAACAUCUAUCAUUCUCCCACAACCUUCAAUAAAGUCAUGGGUUUUAACAUCAACAUUUCAUCUAUUUCCACAAUCAAUCAUAAUUUCAAGGUUAACAACAACAUAUUUAUCAUUCACACAAUUCAUCAAAUUUCAUGGUUAACAUUAUACACUUUUCAUCAUCUCAUGAAGUUCAAUCAAAUUUCUGCGUUAACAUCAUCAUUUCAUCAUCUUUCAACAGACUGCAAUCAAAUUUUCAUAGGUUUACACAACAUUUUCAUCAAUACCAAUUCAAUCAAAUUUCAAGGUCUUAACAACAAGCACUUUCAACAUGUUACAUUAAUUCAAUCAAAUUUAUUAGGUUUCAAACAUAAUUUCAUAUUCCAUCAAUUCAACAUAGGAUUUAUGGUUUACACAAUAAUUUUUAUAUGACCACGAUAUUCCAUCAAUUUCAUGGUUUAACAACACAUAUUUUCAUAUCCCACAAUUCAAUCAAAUUUCUGGGUUUAACAAAAACAUUUCUAUCAUCACAUAUUCAAUCAAAUUUUAGGGGUUAAAAUAACAUUUUCAUCAUUCCCACAACUUGAAUAAAAUUUCAUGGUUUAACAUCCACAUUUCAUCAUUCAUAAUUCAAUCAAAUCAUGGGUUUAAUAACAACAUUUCAUUAUUCGGACAUUCAAAUCCAAAUUCAUGGUCUACACACAUUUCAUUUUUCAACACAAGUUCAAUCAAAUUUGUGUGUGUCGUAGCGUGAUCGUUGUCUGCUGCAUGUGCUGAUCUGGAUUUCAUGUUGGGGUGUGAUACUGUACGUUUAUUCUUCCCACAAUUCAUUCAAUGCAGGGUUAACUUAUCUCAUCAUCACACCGGUUCAACAAUUUAGUGGAGGUACAUCAAGAUUUCAUCAUUUCCACAAUUCAAUCGAUUCAUAGUUUAAUCUAUGCGUGUGUAUCUAUCUAUAUCAAUUUCAUGGUUUAACAAAACGAGCACUUAUCAUUCCUUAAGCAAUCAAAUUUCACGUUACAUCGCCUUUCGUGUGUGUGUCUGAUGUGAUAAUAUGUGUGUUUAACAAAUAUUUUUAUCAUUCAUAUAUCAAUCAAAAUUUCAUGUUUUAACACAAUAUUUUACAUUUAAUCACACAAUUCAAUCAAUUCUUGGGUUUAAACAUCAACUUACAUCAUCUUCCACCAUUCAAUCAAUUUCAUUAGGUUUAACAACAAUCAUCAUUCCCCAAUUCAUUCAAUUCAUGGCGUUUUUACAAUUAUCAUUUUCAUCAUCACACAGUUCAAUCAAAUCUUAUGGGUUAACAUAACUUCAUACAUUUCAUCAUUUCCACCAUUCAAUCAAUUUCAUAGAUUUAACAACAACAUUUUCAUCAUUCCCACAAUUCAAUCAAAAUUCAUGGGUUUAACAUCAUCAUUUUCAUCAUUCACACAGUUCAAU